UUUCCAUGUAUCCGAAUUAUAUUCCGAUGUGUUCAACGGGUAAAAUUCUACUCAAAUGGAGGAAUACUCGAGAUGAAAGGGACGUAUUGAUAAAUGUUGUGAAAUGGAUACUUUGAACAGAGUUUCCAGUUUAGCUCGGGUUGGAGGCCGUCAAAGAUAUUAUCACACUGUCAAGCUAACGCUAUUGGUGUAGUGAUUUCAAGUACUUUGAGCCUAUGGCAUGUAUAGGAGUUUAAAUAUUAGAGUAUGUGAUAUGGCUUUAACCAUAUGCGUUGGCCUAUUUUGAUUAUGGGGUUGUAAAUCUAUUUUAAUUAUGCAUGCAUGUGCUAUGGUAUUAUGUGAUGAGUUUAUAAUGAUUAUAGUA